rnacentral:tRNA from 1 species
GCCAACGUGGGUGUUGGAGAGCACAAGGCUCUUAACCUUGUGGUCGUGGGUUCGAGCCCCACGGUGGGCG